GGAAUAUUGGACAAUGGGGGAAACCCUGAUCCAGCAAUGCCGCGUGUGUGAAGAAGGCCUUCGGGUUGUAAAGCACUUUCGGACGGAACGAAAUCGCGCGCAUGAAUAAUGCGCGUGGAUGACGGUACCGUAAGAAGAAGCACCGGCUAACUACGUGCCAGCAGCCGCGGUAAUACGUAGGGUGCAAGCGGUAAUCGGAAUUACUGGGCGUAAAGGUUGCGCAGGCGGCCCCGCAUGUCAGGCGUGAAAUCCCCGGGCUCAACUUGGGAAUGGCGCUUGAAACUAUGGGGCUGGAGUGUGGCAGAGGGAGGUGGAAUUCCAGGUGUAGCGGUGAAAUGCGUAGAGAUCUGGGGGAACACCGAUGGCGAAGGCAGCCUCCUGGGCCAACACUGACGCUCAUGCACGAAAGCGUGGGGAGCA
rnacentral:rRNA from 1 species